GGCUCAGAACGAACGCUGGCGGCGCGUUUAAGCAUGCAAGUCGAGCGGCAAGGGCCUUCGGGCCCCUAGAGCGGCGGACGGGUGAGUAACACGUGGACAAUCUGCCCCCCGGCCCGGGAUAGCCCAGGGAAACCUGGAUUAAUACCGGAUGAGACGGGACCCGCGAUGGCGGGAUCCGGGAAAGGCGCUGCGGCGCCGCCGGGGGAUGAGUCUGCGUCCCAUUAGCUAGACGGCGGGGUAACGGCCCACCGUGGCGACGAUGGGUAGCCGGCCUGAGAGGGUGGACGGCCACAUUGGAACUGAGACACGGUCCAGACUCCUACGGGAGGCAGCAGCUAAGAAUCUUCCGCAAUGGGCGAAAGCCUGACGGAGCCGACGCCGCGUGAACGAAGAAGGCCGUGAGGUUGUAAAGUUCUUUUCGGGAGGGGGAACAACCGUGGCAGGGAAUGGCCGCGGGAUGACGUGAAUCCCGGAAUAAGCCCCGGCUAACUACGUGCCAGCAGCCGC
rnacentral:rRNA from 1 species